GUUCGGAAUUACUGGGCGUAAAGCGCGUGUAGGCGGCUAGGUAAGUCGGGGGGGAAAGCCCUGGGCUCAACCUAGGAAGUGCACUCGAAACUUCCGAGCUGGAGUUCUGGAGAGGAAGGCGGAAUUCUCGGUGUAGAGGUGAAAUUCGUAGAUAUCGAGAGGAACACCGGUGGCGAAGGCGGCCUUCUGGACAGCAACUGACGCUGAGACGCGAAAGCGUGGGGAGCAAACAGG
rnacentral:rRNA from 1 species